rnacentral:rRNA from 1 species
ACGGGAGGCAGCAGUGGGGAAUAUUGGGCAAUGGGGGAAACCCUGAUCCAGCGACGCCGCGUGAGUGAAGAAGUAUUUCGGUAUGUAAAGCUCUAUCAGCAGGGAAGAUAAUGACGGUACCUGACUAAGAAGCCCCGGCUAACUACGUGCCAGCAGCCGCGGUAAUACGUAGGGGGCAAGCGUUAUCCGGAUUUACUGGGUGUAAAGGGAGCGUAGACGGUAUGGCAAGUCUGAUGUGAAAACCCGGGGCUCAACCCCGGGACUGCAUUGGAAACUGUCAAACUAGAGUGCGGGAGGGGUAAGUGGAAUUCCUAGUGUAGCGGUGAAAUGCGUAGAUAUUAGGAGGAACACCGGUGGCGAAGGCGGCUUACUGGACUGUGACUGACGUUGAGGCUCGAAAGCGUGGGGAGCAAACAGGAUUAGAUACCCUGGUA